UUCUCUUCCUCUCCAAAACCCACGGCCAUAAAACCCACAAAAUCUACCCACAGCCCCCAUUGCUUGGAGGAAGCCAUUUCCGGAAAAAGCUUAUGGAAGCCAUGCCGAAGAAGCCCCAUGGAAGCUAUGGUCCGUAAAGCCAAAGCCACCUCCAAGAAACUCCCGUAAAAAUCGUUUCUCUCUAGGUUUUGGGUUUUGGUGCUUUUGGAAAAACCACACUUAAUUACUUCCUAAGAUGAGGAGAGAUUGUGUCAUCGACCUCCACACUUAUCGGAUGAUGAUUGGAGGUGGCUCAUCCACUUUUGGGGUACACCUGAGGCCAAGGAUAUCUCAUAAAAAAACAAGGCAAAUAGGGCAAAACAAGUGAUAAAGCAUACAUCGGGAUCAAAAAGUUAUGCUCAAAUUCGAUAUGAACAGGCACAAAAGAAGGAGGAUCGAAGUGAGCCCAAUAGAAUUGAGAUGUUUGCCCUGACACACACAAGAAAAGAUGGGACGCCUGUUGAUGAUCAUUCUAAGGAGAUUAUGGAUCAAUUUCAACAAUUACUAUCUCAACCUGAGGGGACAUCUUCUUCUACUUCUGCAUCAUCUGGAGCAUCUACAUCUGUAGCAUCUACAUAUGUAGAUGAGAUAUAUACUCAAGUCAUGGGUCCAGAGGCAUGGUCGUGUUCGAGGGUAUGGAUUUGGUCCUACUCCUACCUCAAUCUUUGGUUCUACUAGUAGGAGACGAUCAGGAGUUAUUCUUUCAACACAACUUGAAAAUGCCCAAGAGAUGCUAAUAGCUGCAGAACAAAAGUUUACAACUGCAACUGAAGAACUCUCAAAUGUGAAAGAUGAACUCUCACAUGUGAAAGAAACAUUUGAAGAGAGGUUGAUAGAAGUUCAAAAGAAGACACGUGAAGAAGUGAAAGAAGAGUUUGAAGAAAAAAUGAUGGAAAUGCAAAGAAAAAUGCAAGCACAAAUUCAAGAACAGAUGAUGCAACAAUUUCAGCAAAAGUAGUAGACAUUUGAAGAUUUUGCUAUAUCUUUAUAUAAUAGAUUCUCUUAACUUUUUUUUUGAAGAUUAUGCUACUUAUUUAUAUGAUAGAUUCUCCUAACUUUUUUUGCUUUCUAUGACUAUUAUGUGAUGUUUGGUUGGUUGAUUUGUUAUAUUAUGUUAGAAUGUGAAACUAAAUUUGAAUCUC